AUUGUUGAUUUCUUCUCUUAAGCCGGAGCUCGGCUUCAGGAGUACUUUUCAAAAUAUCAUGUAUUUUGCUAACUCUAUAUAACUCCAUGUGUCAUUUCAUCCAGAAAACUUGUUUCUAAUGCUUUUUUCUCUGGACUCUAAGCUGGUUGAUGCCACCAGGCCUUGGGAAAAAGCCUGCCUUCUGAUAGGAUUGCUAUUGAGUAGCAAAAAUUCUUGGAUUCUGAUAACAUCUUUCAUGCAGAAACUCAAAGCAUCUCCCAAAUUAUAAGCCCAUUCUUUUACACUGUUCUACACUCUCACACUCUAGGAACAACUCAUUUCAAUCUUGGGACAUUGACCAGAAUUCAGGGAAACUAGCAUGAUCCUUCCAGUCUGACGUUUCAUUCCAUCUACUGUCCAAAGCUGUGUCUACAAGGCAUCACCUAUGAGACAAUAAAACAAACCCUCUGAAAUCAGGAAAUUUGCCAGAAGAUGGCGAGCUGGGAAGAAAUAAAACCAGGAUUUGAGCCAGGACUGACUGCAAAGUGCGGUGCUAGAGGACCUUCUGAGUCAA
rnacentral:lncRNA from 1 species